AGAACCUUACCAAGUCUUGACAUCCUUAUGCAAGUCUCUUAGCCGAGAUGUUCUCUUCGGAGACAUAAGUGACAGGUGGCGCAUGGUUGUCGUCAGCUCGUGUCGUGAGAUGUUGGGUUAAGUCCCGCAACGAGCGCAACCCUUAUGUUUAGUUGCCAUCAGUUAGGCUGGGCACUCUAGACAGACUGCCGUGGACAACACGGAGGAAGGUGGGGAUGACGUCAAAUCAUCAUGCCCCUUAUGAUUUGGGCUACACACGUGCUACAAUGGUCGGUACAACGGGCAGCGAAGGAGUGAUCUGGAGCGAAUCCUAAAAAGCCGAUCUCAGUUCGGAUUGUAGGCUGCAACUCGCCUACAUGAAGUUGGAGUUACUAGUAAUCGUGGAUCAGAAUGCCGCGGUGAAUGCGUUCCCGGGUCUUGUACACACCGCCCGUCACACCAUGGAAGUUGGGGGCGCCCGAAGCCAGUGUUCUAACCCGUAAGGGAGGAAGCUGUCGAAGGUGAAAUCAAUGACUAGGGUGAAGUCGUAACAAGGUAACCGUA
rnacentral:rRNA from 1 species